GUCUAUGGUCAUGCCACCCUGAACAAGCCCGAUCCCGUCUGAUCUCAGAAGCUAAGCAGGGUCGGGCCUGGUUAGUACUUGGAUAGGAGAUCACAUAGGAAGACCAGGAGAUGUAGGUG
rnacentral:rRNA from 1 species